UACGGGGGGGGCAAGCGUUGUUCGGAAUUACUGGGCGUAAAGGGCUUGUAGGUGGCCAACUAAGUCAGACGUGAAAUCCCUCGGCUUAACCGGGGAACUGCGUCUGAUACUGGAUGGCUUGAGUUUGGGAGAGGGAUGCGGAAUUCCAGGUGUAGCGGUGAAAUGCGUAGAUAUCUGGAGGAACACCGGUGGCGAAGGCGGCGAUCCUGGACCGGUAUUGACGCUGAGGCGCGAAAGCCAGGGGAGCAAACGGG
rnacentral:rRNA from 1 species